UACGUAGGCAGCAAGCGUUGUUCGGAGUUACUGGGCGUAAAGGGUGUGUAGGCGGUUGCUUAAGUUUGGUGUGAAAUCUCCCGCUUAACUGGGAGGGUGCGCCGAAUACUGAGUGACUCGAGUGCGGGAGAGGAAAGUGGAAUUCCUGGUGUAGCGGUGAAAUGCGUAGAUAUCAGGAGGAACACCGGUGGUGUAGACGGCUUUCUGGACCGUAACUGACGCUGAAACACGAAAGCGUGGGUAGCAAACAGG
rnacentral:rRNA from 1 species